UGUUGAACAGAUCGACCUGUGCAGUAUCAAAGCUAACGCGUUAAGUAUCCCGCCUGGGAAGUAUGCUCGCAAGAGCGAAACUCAAAGGAAUUGACGGGGGCCCGCACAAGCGGUGGAGCAUGUGGUUUAAUUCGAUGCAACGCGAAGAACCUUACCAGGGUUUGACAUGAUACGAAUUUCUUUGAAAGGAGAAAGUGCCGUUCGGAACGUAUACACAGGUAGUGCAUGGCUGUCGUCAGCUCGUGUCGUGAGAUGUUGGGUUAAGUCCCGCAACGAGCGCAACCCUCAUUUUUAGUUGCCUUAUGGAACUCUAGAAAGACUGCCGGUUAUAAACCGGAGGAAGGCGGGGAUGACGUCAAGUCAGCAUGCCCCUUACACCCUGGGCUACACACGUGCUACAAUGGGCGAGACAAUGAGAUGCAAAUCUGCGAAGACUAGCUAAUCUAUAAACUCGUUCUAAGUUCGGAUUGUAGGCUGCAACUCGCCUGCAUGAAGUUGGAAUCGCUAGUAAUCGCUGGUCAGCUACACAGCGGUGAAUUCGUUCCCAGGCCUUGUACACACCGCCCGUCACACCAUGGAAGCUGGUUAUGCCCGAAGUCGUUACUCUAACCUUUUUUGGAGGAGGACGCCGACGGUAGAAUUAGUGACUAGGGUG
rnacentral:rRNA from 1 species